CACCCCCACCCACAGCUGCUCCUGCGCCUGAGCCCCUUCAGAGGCACCCAGUCACUCUCUGAGCCACAGCUCAGAGCACUCAGGGGUGAGGAACAUCCCACGUGCUUCCCCGCAGCUGUACCAGCCUGAUCCUGGAGCUGCGAGACCGGGGUUCAAGCCCAGCCCGGAGCCUCACUUACGGUAACUUUCCAAGGAUGGUUCCAGCAGCCUGUGACAUGGCCAGCAGGAAGAACAACAGCUACUGCUUGUGCUCCCAUGUGAGCUGCUUGACAUGUAUUAGAUGCAUUCAUCCUCCCAGAGGUCCUAGGAGGCUUGCCCCCACCCCCUGG